rnacentral:rRNA from 1 species
AUUGAACGCUGGCGGCGUGCUUAACACAUGCAAGUCGAACGAAGUGGCGAACGGGUGAGUAACGCGUAAUCAACCUGCCCUUCAGAGGGGGACAACAGUUGGAAACGACUGCUAAUACUGAAUACUGAUGGAGUGGAUUGCGUCUGAUUAGCUAGUUGGAGGGGUAACGUCCCACCAAGGCGAUGGUCAGUAGCCGGUCUGAGAGGAUGAACGGCCAAAUUGGGACUGAGACACGGCCCAGACUCCUACGGGAGGGAGCAGUGGGGAAUCUUCCGCAAUGGACGAAAGUCUGAAGGAGCAACGCCGCGUGAGUGAUGACGGCCUUCGGGGUGUAAAGCUCUGUUAAGCGGGACGCGGUACCGGAAUAGAAAGCCACGGCUAACUACGUGCCAGCAGCCGCGGUAAUAC